GAUGAACGCUAGCGGCAGGCCUAAUACAUGCAAGUCGAGGGGCAGCACGAGUAGCAAUACUUGGUGGCGACCGGCGCACGGGUGCGUAACACGUAUACAAUCUGCCUUUAACAGGGGGAUAGCCCGGAGAAAUCCGGAUUAAUACCCCAUAAUAAAUGAAACGGCAUCGUUUUAUUUUGAAAGCUCCGGCGGUUAAAGAUGAGUAUGCGCCUGAUUAGCUAGUUGGUGAGGUAACGGCUUACCAAGGCGACGAUCAGUAGGGGAUCUGAGAGGACUACCCCCCACACGGAUACUGAGACACGGAUCCGACUCCUACGGGAGGCAGCAGUAAGGAAUAUUGGACAAUGCCCGCAAGGGUGAUCCAGCCAUGCCGCGUGCAGGAAGACGGCCCUAUGGGUUGUAAACUGCUUUUACACCGGAGAAAACCCCUUCUCGUGAGGAGGGCUGAUAGUAUGGUGAGAAUAAGCAUCGGCUAACUUUGUGCCAGCAGCCGCGGUAAGACGG
rnacentral:rRNA from 1 species